AUUGAACGCUGGCGGCAUGCCUUACACAUGCAAGUCGAACGGCAGCACGGGAGCAAUCCUGGUGGCGAGUGGCGAACGGGUGAGUAAUAUAUCGGAACGUGCCCAGUCGUGGGGAUAACGUAGCGAAAGCUACGCUAAUACCGCAUACGAUCUAUGGAUGAAAGCGGGGGAUCGCAAGACCUCGCGCGAUUGGAGCGGCCGAUAUCAGAUUAGGUAGUUGGUGAGGUAAAGGCUCACCAAACCGACGAUCUGUAGCUGGUCUGAGAGGACGACCAGCCACACUGGGACUGAGACACGGCCCAGACUCCUACGGGAGGCAGCAGUGGGGAAUUUUUGGGACAAUGGGCGCAAGCCUGAUCCAGCAAUGCCGCGUGCAGGAUGAAGGCC
rnacentral:rRNA from 1 species